CCUGCCCACCCCCUGCCUCGUGGUCGUCUGCUCCUCCACCAUGCCAUGUCCUCAAUCACUCUAGAGCUCUCUAUCAAGACAUUGUCACCACCUCGCUGAAGUGGAUGGUGGCCUGCUCCAAAUCGCAGGGGCACAAAGCUGGAGGUCGGCAGCCGGUCGCCGAUUGGCCGUCAGAACUGGCAAGCGGGGUAGCCGUCUACUCCACCUAGCCGUCAAAUUGAUGGACACAAGUCCCUGCGUUGUAAGUUUUGCGCAGCCGUGGCCGCUUUCACCUGCGCCAUAACUGGAUCUGCAUUAUCCUGUUAGGCCAGCGGUCUCCGUCCCGACCUCACAGUUGAUUCCCUUCCGGACCUGUUUGCUUUCCUAAUCCCAUUUCUACUUUUUUUCAGCGGAAGUUAACUUCACUAAGAUGCAAGCUCGAGGAAUCACAUGCAUUUUCAUACUGGAGGAAGCUCACCGUGUGCCUUUAAUGCAUUUCCAUGAACUUCUAAUUUCUGUUUCUAGAAAACCAACAAGUGGAGCAAACUGUGUAUUCUAUCAGCCACAUAGAGAAGUACAUUUAGUCUUUCUAGGUACUGCACCAAAAUUGCUCCCUUUUGCAACUUCAUCUCUAUUUUGAGUGCUAAUACAAAUGGUGUAGCCCAAUCUUGAGUUUCUGCAUCUCUGCUUUAGGUUCCCCUUUCAGUGAUUAACCUUGAGCUUGUCAUCGUAUGGAGGUAGAAAUUAAGUUACUUCUCGAAGUGCUGGUUACUUUUCUAAUUCAAUAAUAUCGAUCGUGCAUUUGGAAGCAGUGUUGUAGCGCGAUACAUUGCCAGCCAUCGGAUGACCACUCCUUGCCAUGUGCAUGUGUACGCAAGUCGUUCAUGACAUAUGCAGGCCUUGUCGUGAACGUAGCCACCGGCAUCACACAUUAAUGUUGUUGCGUUGCAACUGUUUCCUAUUUCUAUUUGAUAAGCACGCUUGCAAAUUGAUCUUCUGAUGUUAUUACAGUGGUGCCUUGAAAUGUUGUUAAAUCGAGCAAUUUUCAUAAAUCUGUCAUCUGUCCACUACAUGUUAUUCCUAUUAUUUUCUACAUGUAAAUUAUUUGCUUGAAGUUUGAUGGUAACCACUAUUGUUCUUAGAGUGAAUCAAGUUGAGAUAUUAUCAUAACGUAAACUUGUAUAUAUG
rnacentral:lncRNA from 1 species